UACGAAGGGAGCUAGCGUUGUUCGGAAUCACUGGGCGUAAAGCGCACGUAGGCGGAUUUGUCAGUCAGGGGUGAAAUCCCGGGGCUCAACCUCGGAACUGCCUUUGAUACAGCAAGUCUUGAGUUCGAGAGAGGUGGGUGGAAUUCCUAGUGUAGAGGUGAAAUUCGUAGAUAUUCGGAAGAACACCAGUGGCGAAGGCGACUUACUGGACACAUAUUGACGCUGAGGUGCGAAAGCGUGGGGAGCAAACAGG
rnacentral:rRNA from 1 species